CCAAAGUAUUACAUCUUGUGAUUUCCUCUCUUAGCUCCCUUUUAGUUUUUUCUCUUUUCUAACUUUUGUUCUCUAUAGCAAUUGUUUGAUUGUAAUGGUUUCAUUUGAUUGUAAUCGAAUUGCUGGGUUAUCUCCAUUUUACCUGUUGGUGGUUAGUUUUGGGGGUUAUAAGUUAGUUUGGUUAUAGUUUGAAGACACAACUGUAACAUUUGGUAUCAGACCAGUUCGUGAGAUGGGGAGAUGGAGACUCGUAGUAAAACACAUGAAGAACAAUUUAAAAGGAUGGAAAUGGAGCUAGGGAAUCUAAGUAUGGUUUACCGUAGAACGGAUCAGGCUGUGAAGCCUCUGUGUUGAAGGCGGGAUAUACUUGAAGGAUUGAUGACUAAGAUAAACCACAAGUAUAAGAAUAUUAUCGGAAUGUUGGCCAAAAUGAGCGAAGGAACACCGAAUUCUAGACCGAGAAAUCCCUCACAUCAGAGGAAUGGAAAAGGAAUUCACAUAGAAGAGCAUCUGACUCCAAUUGCAUCUGAAUGGGGAAUACUGAAUUCCAGGGCAAAGCAUUUUCCCUCCAAGGGGAAUGUUAAG
rnacentral:lncRNA from 1 species